AGCAACCGCGGUAAUUCCAGCUCCAAUAGCGUAUAUUAAAGUUGUUGCAGUUAAAAAACUCGUAGUUGAAUUUCGGGAUCAAUAUAUCGGUCGUGCUAUUGUACGUACUGGUAUAAUCGGUUUCUCCUUUCUGACGAACUAUGAUGCCAUUAAUUUGGUGUUUUAGGGAAUCAGGACUGUUACUUUGAAAAAAU
rnacentral:rRNA from 1 species